UGGUGGAGCGAUUUGUCUGGUCAAUUCCGAUAACAAACGAGACUAGCCUACUACAUAGUUCGGGGACCCCCACAAAGGGUUUAGCCACACGAGAUUGAGCAAUAACA
rnacentral:rRNA from 1 species